rnacentral:lncRNA from 1 species
AACAACCCUAGGAGGUAAAACUGUUGUCAUCCCCACUUUAAGAGGAGGAAACAGAGGCAUAGAGGCAGUUAAGUAACUUUUCCAGGACCUCAUAGCUGGUGAGGGGCAGAGACAAAAAUCAAAACCCUGAGGAGCUAUUUGCAAGGUAGUCUGGGAACAGUAGCAAAGGCACAGAGCUAGGACAGGGACCAAGGGGUUCUGGCAAGCCCAGCUUUCAACAGCAACAUGGAGCAGAUGACAGUGGAGGAAGGGCCUGAGGCUUUACCUGAAAGGAAGCCCAGGAAAGGUCUAAGUGAUAAAGGAAUCUUUAUGGAUGGGGUCCAUAGUGAUUCAAAGAUUUUCUGAUUGGCAAUUGGUUGUAAGAGUUACUACCUAAAGGCCUGUAAUCAAUAGAAAAAAGUUGUGGAGACUGAGGUUCUUAGUACAUAGAGGAAGUUUCAUAGGUGGCCACUCUUACAGGC